rnacentral:misc_RNA from 1 species
GCAACAAAACCCACCUUACACUCUCCUCUUCUUUCUCUCUCGCGCAGAGCUAGCAAGGCUCUCCUAGGGUUUCUUUUCCUCUACUUGUCCUUUCCCAGGAAGCUAAAACCCCACCAAAACCUUCCCAAUCCUGCACAUUUUGCCUUUAACUCUCCACAUUUCACAUCCAUUGUCAAUUUCUAUCUUCAAAGAAAAUCCAACAUCUUCACACCAGCCAUAUCAAUCGAUUCAUGGCCAAAACCAAACCAGGCAAAAAAGACCUCGAUUCCUACACUAUCAAAGGCACCAACAA